AUGGGAUUUUGGCUCGGUUUGAUUUUCAUUGUAGCUGCAUUGGAAGGUGCCCGGUCCCAGCCGCAGCUGAUGGAGUCCGGAGGGGAUGUGAAGAAGCCCGGAGACUCUCUGCGCCUCUCCUGCAAAGCCUCCGGCUUCACCUUCAGCAGCUACAACAUGAGCUGGAUCCGCCAUGCUCCUGAGAAGGGGCUGGAGUGGGUCGGGCGAAUUUACACCGAUGGGAGCCAACAGUUUUACGCAGGCUCAGUGAAAGGCCGAUUCUCCAUCUCCAGGGACAACCGCAACAACCAGCUGUCCCUGCAAAUGACCGGCCUGAAGCCCGAGGACACCGCCCGCUAUUAC